AUGAAAGAAGAAGAAGAAGAAGAAAAAAGG
rnacentral:sRNA from 1 species